GUCGGAGUGGCGGAAUCGGCAGACGCGCACGUUUGAGGGGCGUGUGGGGUAACCCGUGCGGGUUCAAGUCCCGCCUCCGACACCA
rnacentral:tRNA from 1 species